rnacentral:rRNA from 1 species
UACGUAGGGGGCAAGCGUUGUCCGGAUUUAUUGGGCGUAAAGAGCCCGUAGGUGGUUCGGUAAGUCGGAUGUGAAAUCUCCAGGCUCAACCUGGGAGGGUCAUUCGAUACUGCCGUGACUAGAGGUCGGUAGGGAGUGUGGAAUUCCUGGUGGGAGCGGUGAAAUGCGCAGAGUAUCAGGAGGAACACCCGUAGCGGAAGGCGGCACUCUGGGCCGACUACUGACACUGAGGAGCGAAAGCGUGGGGAGCGAACAGG